UAGGGAAUCUUCCGCAAUGGGCGAAAGCUUGACGGAGCAACGCCGCGUGAGUGAUGAAGGUCUUCGGAUCGUAAAACUCUGUUAUUAGGGAAGAACAAAUGUGUAAGUAACUAUGCACGUCUUGACGGUACCUAAUCAGAAAGCCACGGCUAACUACGUGCCAGCAGCCGCGGUAAUACGUAGGUGGCAAGCGUUAUCCGGAAUUAUUGGGCGUAAAGCGCGCGUAGGCGGUUUUUUAAGUAUGAUGUGAAAGCCCACGGCUCAACCGUGGAGGGUCAUUGGAAACUGGAAAACUUGAGUGCAGAAGAGGAAAGUGGAAUUCCAUGUGUAGCAGUGAAAUGCGCAGAGAUAUGGAGGAACACCAGUGGCGAAGGCGACUUUCUGGUCUGUAACUGACGCUGAUGUGCGAAAGCGUGGGGAUCAAACAGG
rnacentral:rRNA from 1 species